rnacentral:snRNA from 1 species
GUGCUUGGUUCUGCAGCACUUAUACUAAAAUUGGAAUGAUACAGAGAAGAGUAGCAUGGCCCUUGCACAAGGAUGACAUGCAAAUUCAGGAAGUGUUCCAUAUUUUA